rnacentral:rRNA from 1 species
UUUAUGGAGAGUUUGAUCCUGGCUCAGGAUGAACGCUGGCGGCGUGCCUAAUACAUGCAAGUCGAGCGAACAGACGAGGAGCUUGCUCCUCUGACGUUAGCGGCGGACGGGUGAGUAACACGUGGAUAACCUACCUAUAAGACUGGGAUAACUUCGGGAAACCGGAGCUAAUACCGGAUAACAUGUUGAACCGCAUGGUUCAACAGUGAAAGACGGUCUUGCUGUCACUUAUAGAUGGAUCCGCGCCGCAUUAGCUAGUUGGUAAGGUAACGGCUUACCAAGGCAACGAUGCGUAGCCGACCUGAGAGGGUGAUCGGCCACACUGGAACUGAGACACGG